rnacentral:tRNA from 1 species
GCACCCGUAGCUCAACUGGAUAGAGCAUCGGUCUUCGAAACCGAGGGUUGGGGGUUCGAUUCCCUCCGGGUGUA